GCUCAGAAACUUAAAGGAAUUGACGGGGCCCGCACAAGCGGUGGAGUAUGUGGUUUAAUUCGAUGCAACGCGAAGAACCUUACCUGGUCUUGACAUCCCGGAGACCCUUAGGAAACUAGGGGGUGCUUCCAUCUGGAAGAAUCUGGAGACAGGUGCUGCAUGGCUGUCGUCAGCUCGUGUCGUGAGAUGUUGGGUUAAGUCCCGCAACGAGCGCAACCCUUGCCUUUAGUUGCCAGCAGUUCGGCUGGGCACUCUAAAGGGACUGCCGGUGUUAAACCGGAGGAAGGUGGGGAUGACGUCAAGUCCUCAUGGCCUUUAUGACCAGGGCUACACACGUACUACAAUGGCCGAUACAAAGGGCAGCGACACUGCGAGGUGAAGCCAAUCCCGUAAAAUCGGUCUCAGUCCGGAUUGGAGUCUGCAACUCGACUCCAUGAAGUUGGAAUCGCUAGUAAUCGUGGAUCAGCAUGCCACGGUGAAUACGUUCCCGGGCCUU
rnacentral:rRNA from 1 species